CCUACGGGUGGCAGCAGUGGGGAAUAUUGGGCAAUGGGCGCAAGCCUGACCCAGCAACGCCGCGUGAAGGAAGAAGGCUCUCGGGUUGUAAACUUCUUUUAUCAGGGACGAAGCAAGUGACGGUACCUGCUGAAUAAGCCACGGCCAACUACUUGCCAGCAGCCGCGGUAAUACGUAGGGGGCAAGCGUUAUCCGGAUUUACUGGGUGUAAAGGGCGUGUAGGGGGGAGUGCAAGUCAGAUGUGAAAACUAUGGGCUCAACCCAUAGCCUGCAUUUGAAACUGUACGUCUUGUGUGCUGGAGAGGCAAGCGGAAUGCGGGGUGUAGCGGUGAAAUGCGUAGAUAUAAGGAGGAACACCAGUGGCGAAGGCGGAUUGCUGGACAGUAACUGACGCUGAGGCGCGAAAGCGUGGGGAGCGAACAGGAUUAGAUACCCCUGUAGUC
rnacentral:rRNA from 1 species